rnacentral:rRNA from 1 species
AUGAUGCAGCUUGCUCUCAUGUACAGGUCAUACGAUUUGGACUUCGAAUUCAUGAAUACAAUGAUGAGUUAUGAGGCGCUCGGCUAUCGCCUGCUGUGGACAAAGAAGCUCAUGCUACCAGUUCCAAUGAUGGAUAGCUACUCACUAUAUGUCGUGGAUGUCGAGGAGAGGACAUUGUUGGUCAUGGACCCCUGUGAGACUUCAGAGCCAAUGUCAGAGAUGCAGUACAAGCAUGAAGACAAUGCAAACUUCAUUCUAGCAGGACUUCGGCGCUGCAUACAUGAGAAUAUCCCUGGAUGGUACAUCCCUGCUCAGGGGUGGACAAUCAACUACAAUGUGAACAUGCAUGAAAGCUGUGAGAUAGAGGACAGCUGGCUGCACGUUGUAAACUACAGUAGGAAUUACACUGGCCUAUAUCUUCAGAAUGUGCUAACCCCGGCGAGAAUUAUACCACACAAAUAUAUUGAAUCCUUGGUUCAACUCUCUAAACAUCUAGUCGAGCGUGCCUAA